CCUCCAUUAACAUCUUUCUGCCACCAGCUACUACUCCUCCCUUUCCAUUGUACUAAACUGAACACUGAAUAAGUAAAACUUUACACACACACACACACACACACACACACACACACACACACACACACACACACACACACACACACACACACACACACACACACACACACA